CGUAGAUGGGCUUGGAAGGGGGAGGGGGGACUAAGCUCCUCUAUUUGCCCCAGUUUAGCAUUGUGUUUGGCGUUUGAAGGCAACGCUAGUCCGUGUUCCAACCAUGAGUGAUUUCCUCAUUUUCAAAUAGAUUUUCACGGGGGACAGUCACGCUGUCCAAGCACCUGAGAUGACUUAGCACUUGUUUGUUAUGUUCCAGGCCAAGUGCUCACUCGGCCCUGGGAACUGUGCUGACUGGGCUUGUGGGGGCUGCAAAGAACAGAUACCACUGAGCGUACCCUAAGUAAUGGGAGUUUACUGUGAAGGAAGGCUGACCGGAAUCUCCACCACUCAGACACGUGUCUCCGAAAAGCCUUCCGGAAAGGCCACCCAGCCAGGCCUCACGAAAACUGGAUUGAAGUUCAGGAACUGGAAGGUCAUUCAGGAUACAGAUCUGUGGCUGGGUUCUCUCAUUGCCCCCUGAGCUGCAGGCAUCUGCCUCCGAUCCCUACCAACAGGCUUAGCCGCCAAGACUCGAAGAUGAAUGAGACCCAACUCCGGCCUCUCAGAAGCUCACCAUCUAUAUAAAGAGAGGGAGGCACGUGCACCGGUCACCACAGGAUACAAUGGCAAACCCUCUAGUAAAGGGGAAUUGAUUGGGGAUCUCUAACGCAAGGCUGUGUAAACCAGGGCUGCUGCCUGCCCCUGAGGGUCUUCUGGUGCUGCGGAACAGAAAACACACACAUGAUAAAACAGAAAGACCAAAAAAAAAGCACAAUACAGUGAGGGUCAGGAGCCUGGAGUCAGCACUGCCUGGCUGGGAACUCAGCAAGGCCCUGCCUG